rnacentral:misc_RNA from 1 species
AAGUCGUAACAAGGUUUCCGUAGGUGAACCUGCGGAAGGAUCAUUAAAGAGAUAGGGUUCUCACGAGCCCGACCUCCAACCCUUUGUUUACUAAACCACUGUUGCCUCGGCGGGUCGUCGGUUCCCUUUACCGGGUGCCGCCGUCGGCCCUCGCGCUCUCGAGUGCCCGCCGCAGGACCAUUGAAACUCCUUUAUAAUCGAGUAUAAUCUGAGUGGAAUUUAAUGCUUCAAUUAAAACUUUCAACAACGGAUCUCUUGGUUCUG